AUGCGAUUCAGCCGAUGCAUGCUGUCGCUCACUCUUUCUUGCCGCUUGGUGCCGGAUCAGAUGCGGUUCUUGAUCAGCGUGCUGCGCACCAUCAUCGGCUACUACUUUUGCCUUCUCUUCGUUAUUCAAGCCCCCGUCAUGGGUUACGUGCGGAACUGCCUCACCUUCUUCUGCGUCUUGCUCCUCGUCGCAUUCCUCAACCGCCCCAGUAAUGGCGAUGACGACGACGCCGACGAAGACGACGACUCCGCCACCGCCGCCUCCUACGUCUUGGUCGCCUGA
rnacentral:rRNA from 1 species